GACGAACGCUGGCGGCGUGCUUAACACAUGCAAGUCGAACGGAAAGGCCCUGCUUUUGUGGGGUGCUCGAGUGGCGAACGGGUGAGUAACACGUGAGUAACCUGCCCUUGACUUUGGGAUAACUUCAGGAAACUGGGGCUAAUACCGGAUAGGAGCUCCUGCUGCAUGGUGGGGGUUGGAAAGUUUCGGCGGUUGGGGAUGGGCUCGCGGCUUAUCAGCUUGUUGGUGGGGUAGUGGCUUACCAAGGCUUUGACGGGUAGCCGGCCUGAGAGGGUGACCGGCCACAUUGGGACUGAGAUACGGCCCAGACUCCUACGGGAGGCAGCAGUGGGGAAUAUUGCACAAUGGGCGGAAGCCUGAUGCAGCAACGCCGCGUGCGGGAUGACGGCCUUCGGGUUGUAAACCGCUUUCGCCUGUGACGAAGCGUGAGUGACGGUAAUGGGUAAAGAAGCACCGGCUAACUACAUG
rnacentral:rRNA from 1 species